rnacentral:rRNA from 1 species
UGGUGGAGUGAUUUGUCUGGUUAAUUCCGUUAACGAACGAGACCUUAACCUGCUAACUAGUUGCGCUAACGUGAGUUGGCGUUGACUUCUUAGAGGGACUUUGUGUUCAAGCACAAGGAAGUUUGAGGCAAUAACA